rnacentral:ncRNA from 1 species
GCAACUUGCAGUUGUUUUAAUAAAUUGGUUCCUUAGGUUAUUUGCCCUUCACUCGUUGAAGGGCUUUUUUUAUGACAUUCU